rnacentral:lncRNA from 1 species
UGAACACUGUGUUCUCUACCAUCUGCAAUGAGUAAAGCCCCUCCCACAGCCUGGGAAGCCCCAGGUAUUUAAUCAGAUGAGGAAAUAAAAGGAAGCCGUUUUUUUUUGCAAAGCAGAUAACUCCUUAAGUAUGGUAAACAUUGUUGUAAUUUUGUUUUUAAUGCCGUCUUUGUUUAGAGCAAGCUGGCAGUGAAUGUGGUACAAGUGGUUCACACAUGAUGCGUGCUGAUCAGCUGAAAGCCCUGAGAACAUCAGCUUUGGAAUGGUCCUCCUAGUGCAAAUUGUCUUAAUGCUCCAUUACCCUUAAGAUCACGAAAGUCCAGGUUUCCCAGCAGAGACAUAAAUCACAGAAUCGGAAGAGACCAGCAAAAAGACAAAGGAGGCUGUAUCAUUUUCCCUGGUUUUGCUGCUACUCUUCUUUCUUUCAUGUCGCUCCCCUCAGCUGCAGUACUUGGAUUUGCUGCCCAUCUGCGAUGUCAAGGACCCAGGACACCCCAGGGAAUGUCAUCCCCAGAAAGCCCCAUUGACAGAAUAUGCUCAAGAGAAAUGGAGAAAGCAAGGAAGACGUGAAUGGCGUGGCAGCAAGAGGGCACAGAGCAGCUGCAUGACAGCUAGAUGAUGCUCUGCUGUCGGUCUGUGUUAGUGGAAGAGGAUGAUGGGCUGCAGGAAUACCAGUGCCAACAGGCCAGGUGGGAUCACAAGCAGUUUGCAACCUGCCACUGUCAAUGAUUGCUUGCAACCUGUUAGUCACGGCUAUACUGCUCCAGUUUGCU